CAUGAAAAAAGACAUUGAGGAAUAUCCAUACAAUGGAACAAAGGAUAUACACAAUAACACAAAAUAACAUGGAAGCAACUAUGCUGCGUGAAAGAAACUAGAUUAAAAAAGUACUAACUAUGAUUCUAUUUCUGUAAAACUCUAGAAAAUGCAGACUAAUCUACAGAAUCUGAAGGAAGAUCAGUGUUUGCUUGAGGGUAGUGAAGGGCUGGAGAGAGGAUUUCCGGGACACAUGUGGAGACCUUGCCUGUGAUGGAUAUGUUCCCUCUCCCAAAUACAGUGAUGGCUUCAUGGGUCACUUGCCUCCUUGGACCUCAGUUUCUGCACCUGUAUUUCCUCGGGCCUCUCUGCUUGGAACUGGAGCUGGAAUUCCUCUCCAUGGACCUGAAGUGUUCAAUCCUCUAUGGAACCUCAGCUCUCUGCAGCAGAUAUUGUCUCAUGAAGAUAUGAUGGUUGGAUCCUUGACAGUUAUUUUGUGACUAUGAGGAAGAGG
rnacentral:lncRNA from 1 species